rnacentral:rRNA from 1 species
GAUGAACGCUGGCGGCGUGCCUAAUACAUGCAAGUCGAGCGAACGGACGAGAAGCUUGCUACUCUGAUGUUGGCGGCGGACGGGUGAGUAACACGUGGAUAACCUACCUAUAAGACUGGGAUAACUUCGGGAAACCGGAGCUAAUACCGGAUACUCUUUUGAACCUCAUGGUUCAAGAGUGUAAGACGGUCUUGCUGUCACUUAUAGAUGGAUUGGCGCUGCAUUGGCUAGCUGGUAAGGUAACGGCUUACCAAGGCAACGAGGAAGAGCCGACGCGAGAGCGUGAAGCGCCACACUGGAACUGGGACACGGCCCAGAGACCGACGUCAGGCAGCGGUAGGGAAUCUACCGCAAUGGGCGGAAGCCUGACGGAGCAACGCCGCGUUAGUGAUGAAGGUCUGCGGAUCGUAAAACUCUGUUAUUAGGGAAGACCAUAUGUGUAAGUAACUGUGCACAUCUUGACGGUACCUAAUCAGAAAGCCACGGCUAACUACGUG